UACGUAGGGUGCAAGCGUUAAUCGGAAUUACUGGGCGUAAAGCGUGCGCAGGCGGUUAUAUAAGACAGUUGUGAAAUCCCCGGGCUCAACCUGGGAACUGCAUCUGUGACUGUAUAGCUAGAGUACGGUAGAGGGGGAUGGAAUUCCGCGUGUAGCAGUGAAAUGCGUAGAUAUGCGGAGGAACACCGAUGGCGAAGGCAAUCCCCUGGACCUGUACUGACGCUCAUGCACGAAAGCGUGGGGAGUAAACAGG
rnacentral:rRNA from 1 species